rnacentral:rRNA from 1 species
AUUGAACGCUGGCGGCAGGCCUAACACAUGCAAGUCGAACGAGUGGCGGACGGGUGAGUAAUGUCUGGGACCCUGCCUGAUGGAGGGGGAUACCUACUGGAAACGGUAGCUAAUACCGCAUACCAUCGGCUUUGCACAGAUGGGAUUAGCCAGUAGGUGGGGUAAAGGCUCACCUAGGCCACGAUCACUAGCUGGUCUGAGAGGGUGACCAGCCAAACUGGAACUGAGACACGGUCCAUACUCCUACGGGAGGCAGCAGUGGGGAAUAUUGCACAAUGGGCGAAAGCCUGAUGGAGCCAUGCCGCGUGUAUGAGGAAGGCCUUCGGGUUGUAAAGUACUUUCAGCGGGGAGGCGUUACCCGCAGAGGAAGCACCGGCUAACUCCGUGCCAGCAGCCGCGGUAAUUC